UGGAGUUGGGGGCCUGGUGCUGGGGCUCAUCUUCCUGGCAGUGGGCCUCAUCAUGCACGUGAGGAGCAAGAAAGCUCAACGAGGAUCUCGAUAAGCAGGCUUCUUGAUCUGACCUGAAAGACUGCGCGUGU